UACGUAGGGUGCAAGCGUUGUCCGGACUUCUUGGGCGUAAAGCGCUCGUAGGCGGUUUGUCGCGUCUGCUGUGAAAACCCGAGGCUCAACCUCGGGCCUGCAGUGGGUACGGGCAAACUAGAGUGCGGUAGGGGAGAAUGGAAUUCCUGGUGUAGCGGUGGAAUGCGCAGAUAUCAGGAGGAACACCGAUGGCGAAGGCAGGUCUCUGGGCCGUAACUGACGCUGAGGAGCGAAAGCGUGGGGAGCGAACAGG
rnacentral:rRNA from 1 species